rnacentral:rRNA from 1 species
GGGUUGUGAGGUUAAGCGACUAAGCGUACACGGUGGAUGCCCUGGCAGUCAGAGGCGAUGAAGGGCGUGCUAAUCUGCGAUAAGCGCCGGUAAGGUGAUAUGAACCGUUAUAACCGGCGAUACCCGAAUGGGGAAACCCAGUGUGACUCGUCACACUAUCAUUAACUGAAUCCAUAGGUUAAUGAGGCGAACCGGGGGAACUGAAACAUCUAAGUACCCCGAGGAAAAGAAAUCAACCGAGAUUCCCCCAGUAGCGGCGAGCGAACGGGGAGGAGCCCAGAGCCUGAAUCAGCAUGUGUGUUAGUGGAAGCGUCUGGAAAGACGCGCGAUACAGGGUGACAGCCCCGUACACAAAAGCGCAUGUGUUGUGAGCUCGAUGAGUAGGGCGGGACACGUGGUAUCCUGUCUGAAUAUGGGGGGACCAUCCUCCAAGGCUAAAUACUCCUGACUGACCGAUAGUGAACCAGUACCGUGAGGGAAAGGCGAAAAGAACCCCGGCGAGGGGAGUGAAAAAGAACCUGAAACCGUGUACGUACAAGCAGUGGGAGCACAGGUUUACCUGUGUGACUGCGUACCUUUUGUAUAAUGGGUCAGCGACUUAUAUUCUGUAGCAAGGUUAACCGAAUAGGGGAGCCGGAGGGAAACCGAGUCUUAAUUGGGCGUUAAGUUGCAGGGUAUAGACCCGAAACCCGGUGAUCUAGCCAUGGGCAGGUUGAAGGUUGGGUAACACUAACUGGAGGACCGAACCGACUAAUGUUGAAAAAUUAGCGGAUGACCUGUGGCUGGGGGUGAAAGGCCAAUCAAACCGGGAGAUAGCUGGUUCUCCCCGAAAGCUAUUUAGGUAGCGCCUCGUGAACUCAUCUCCGGGGGUAGAGCACUGUUUCGGCUAGGGGGCCAUCCCGGCUUACCAACCCGAUGCAAACUGCGAAUACCGGAGAAUGUUAUCACGGGAGACACACGGCGGGUGCUAACGUCCGUCGUGAAGAGGGAAACAACCCAGACCGCCAGCUAAGGUCCCAAAGUCAUGGUUAAGUGGGAAACGAUGUGGGAAGGCCCAGACAGCCAGGAUGUUGGCUUAGAAGCAGCCAUCAUUUAAAGAAAGCGUAAUAGCUCACUGGUCGAGUCGGCCUGCGCGGAAGAUGUAACGGGGCUAAACCAUGCACCGAAGCUGCGGCAGCGACACUCAGGUGUUGUUGGGUAGGGGAGCGUUCUGUAAGCCUGUGAAGGUGUGUCGUGAGGCAUGCUGGAGGUAUCAGAAGUGCGAAUGCUGACAUAAGUAACGAUAAAGCGGGUGAAAAGCCCGCUCGCCGGAAGACCAA